rnacentral:rRNA from 1 species
GGGUGAGUAACACGUAAGCAACCUACCCUAAAGACGAGGAUAACCAUUGGAAACAGUGGCUAAGACUGGAUAGGAAGAUAAAAGGCAUCUUGUAUCUUUUAAAAGACCUAGUAAUAGGUAUGCUUUAGGAGGGGCUUGCGCCAUAUUAGUUAGUUGGUAGGGUAAUGGCCUACCAAGACGAUGAUGUGUAGCUGGACUGAGAGGUUGAACAGCCACAUUGGGACUGAGACACGGCCCAAACUCCUACGGGAGGCAGCAGUAGGGAAUUUUCGGCAAUGGAGGAAACUCUGACCGAGCAACGCCGCGUGAAUGACGAAGUACUUCGGUAUGUAAAGUUCUUUUAUCGAGGAAGAAAAGCAAAUGGCGAACCAUUUGUUUGCCGGUACUUGAUGAAUAAGCCCCGGCUAAUUAUGUGCCAGCAGCCGCGGUAAGACAUAAGGGGCAAGUGUUAUCCGGAAUUAUUGGGCGUAAAGGGUGCGUAGGCGGUCUAGUAAGUCAGUGGUGUAAUGGCAACGCUUAACGUUGUCCGGCUAUUGAAACUGCUAAACUUGAGUUAGAUAGAGGCGAGUGGAAUUCCAUGUGUAGCGGUAAAAUGCGUAAAUAUAUGGAGGAACACCAGAGGCGUAGGCGGCUCGCUGGGUCUUAACUGACGCUGAGGCACGAAAGCGUGGGGAGCAAACAGGAUUAGAUACCCUGGUAGUCCACGCCGUAAACGAUGAGUACUAAGUGUCGGGUUAAACCGGUACUGAAGUUAACACAUUAAGUACUCCGCCUGAGUAGUACGUACGCAAGUAUGAAACUUAAAGGAAUUGACGGGACUCCGCACAAGCGGUGGAUCAUGUUGUUUAAUUCGAAGAUACCCGAAAAACCUUACCAGGUCUUGACAUGUUUUUGCAAAAUGAUAGUAAUAUCGUGGAGGUUACCAGAAACACAGGUGGUGCAUGGUUGUCGUCAGCUCGUGUCGUGAGAUGUUAGGUUAAGUCCUAAAACGAGCGAAACCCUUAUCGUUAGUUGCCAGCACGUUAUGGUGGGGACUUUAACGAGACUGCCAAUGAUAAAUUGGAGGAAGGUGAGGAUCACGUCAAAUCAGCAUGCCCCUUAUGACCUGGGCUACAAACGUGAUACAAUGGCUGUUACAAAGGGUAGCUGAAACGCAAGUUCUUGGCCAAUCCCCAAAAACAGUCCCAGUCCGGAUUGAAGUCUGCAACUCGACUUCAUGAAGUUGGAAUCGCUAGUAAUCGCGAAUCAGCAUGUCGCGGUGAAUACGUUCUCGGGGUUUGUACACACCGCCCGUCAAACCACGAAAGUUGGCAAUACCCCAAAACGGUAGCCUAAC